rnacentral:tRNA from 2 species
GGGGAUCUGGCCGAGUGGUUAAGGCGUUGUGUUUAGGCCGCAAUUCGAAAGAGCGUGGGUUCGAAUCCCACGGUCCUCA